AUUCUGGUUGAUCCUGCCAGUAGCAUAUGCUUGUCUCAAAGAUUAAGCCAUGCAUGUCUAAGUACAAGCCAUAUUAUGGUGAAACCGCGAAUGGCUCAUUAAAUCACACCUAAUCUACUGGAAUGUUAGCAGUUACUUGGAUAACUGAGGUAAUUCUUGAGCUAAUACAUGCGAAAAAUCCCGACUCACGAAGGGAUGCUUUUAUUAGAUCAAAACCAAACAGCUUCGGCUGUAGCACUGGUGACUCUGAAUAACUUUGGGCUGAUCGCAUUGCCUUGAGCAGGCGACAUUUCCUUCGAAGGUGUGCCCUAUCAACUGUCGACUGUGAUAUAGACGCUCACAGUGGUCUUGACGGGUAACGGGGAAUCAGGGUUCGAUUCCGGAGAGGGAGCCUUAAAAACGGCUACCACAUCCAAGGAAGGCAGCAGGCACGCAAAUUACCCAAUGAACGAAGUUCGAGGUAGUAACGAAAAAUAACAAUACAAGACUCAUCCGAGGCCUUGUAAUUGGAAUGAGUACACUUUAAAACCGUUUCACGAGGAUCUAUUGGAGGGCAAGU
rnacentral:rRNA from 1 species